UACGUAGGUGGCAAGCGUUGUCCGGAUUUACUGGGCGUAAAGAGCGCGCAGGCGGUCGUCCAAGUCGCGUGUGAAAGCCCCCGGCUCAACUGGGGAGGGUCACGCGAUACUGGUCGACUCGAAGGCAGGAGAGGGUAGUGGAAUUCCCGGUGUAGUGGUGGAAAUGACGCAGAUAUCGGGAAGAACACCCGUGGCGAAGGCGGCUCUCUGGGACGGUACUGACGCUGAGACGCGAAAGCGUGGGGAGCGAACAGG
rnacentral:rRNA from 1 species